UCUGGCGUAACGUCUCGCGUUUUCCUUCUGCCUGCAUUGGCGGCGUACUUGCGUUGCGAUUGCAUCAUUCUUCUCGGAGCCGAAGUGAACUUGGAAGUCGCGUGUUUGCUUUAGUUUUUUUUUUUUUUUUUUGAAGUGCUGUUGGGGCUGGGGCUGCGUGAUCGUCACAGGCGUCCUCCAGAGUGCCCACCGAUCGUAAAGUCGUACGUACCGCAAGCUUUGAACGUCUGUUUAUCGCACCAUCGAAAGCGGCGACGCAAAAGGCGCGAUGUGCGCUCCGGUGGGACCAGAAGCUCCUUUGUCUCGUAACGGUGCUGCCCAGACUGGCCAUGAGACUAGCGAAUUUGCUAUAGAACAGCCUAUCUGGGAGUGGCUGCGUCACGCUCCUGCCAGGCACAGAACUGCCAUUGCCAAGGACUGUGCCACUGAACAGCCCGGAUAUGUGUGACCUGGUCCCCUCGGCCUGUUGUACCUUCACCUAUCACCUGCAGCAUCUAGCUUCCAGUGUGACCAUGCUUUCUUCAGCACAGUGCCACUGAACAGCCCGGACAAGUGUGACAUGGUCCCCUAGGCCUGCUGUACUUCACCCAUCACCCAUGGCGUCUAGCUCCAGUGUGCAAAGUUGUCCAAAACUGCCAAGUGCUUUAUGAUGUCACCAAUGUGCCAAAUGCUCUAGUACUGUUAUGUGCUCCGCCACUCUGCCAUGCGCUCUCCACGUCUCCAGUAUUUAAAGUGUCCCAUCGCGUCUCCAUUUGCGAAGUGUAUUACCAAGUCACCAAUGUGCCAAGCACUCCAUAUCUGUGUUAUGUGCUCCGCCGCUGUGCCGAGUGUUCUCCGUUUCUGCAGUAUACCAAGUGACCCAUUGCGUCUCCAUUUUACCAAGUGCUCCAAUAGUGUCAAAUGCUUGACCACGUCUGGAAUAUGCCAUGUGCUCCACUGCUGUGCCAAGUGUAUACUUUGUAAAUGAUAUACAUGUAAUAAGUUCAACCAAUAGCUGUACUGCAUAACUUAUACAGUUGGUCUUCACAUAGACUUCUAUGUCAGUAUGUACACAUAUUGUAGUUGUGUUACUGUUCCUGCAGAAUAGAUGUGGGUCAACAUGUUUUUUUUUCUUCGUAGAAGGUUACAGCGCGGAAACAACAAAGACAGGAGAGGCACACAAAGACCACAGACACAGUGCCGACUUUCAACAAGAAUCAGCUUUUUGAAAGUCAGCGCUGUGUCUGUGUUCUUUGUGUGCCUCUCCUGUCUUCGUCGGUUCCGUGCCGUAGCCUUCAACGAUGUUCAACCAACAAGCCCAAUUGGUUACUCUGUUCAAAUGUUUUUGUACCACUCGGUACCUUUGUGCUGUUUCCUAUAUCAAGUGCCCAGCUUGCUAUGCAACUGCCGAGACUUGUCACGCCAGCGUGCUGCUGCCGUUGAUGUCAUCAUUGCGAAUACAGCAUUCAUAAUUAAGAGCACAAGUUCGGACAGCCCAAUAAUAUCUUUAAAUUUUAAUUUCAUUCUAAUACAUAGAGAAGAUUGUGCUUGUUCGUGUAUUUCUACUCACAUUCUGCAGAUAUCACAAGGAUCAUGCAUUGCGUUAAAAGUUUUACUCACAGAUGUGUGCGUCACUCCAGGAAGUUUGUAGUUUGUGUAUUUCUAGUCGCAUUCUGUGGAUGUUGCUUCGACCAACUUUCUAGUCACAUUUCGCAGAUUUUACUUGCACUUCUAUUGAUUUUAUUGUUUUACUUGCACUUCAAUGUCUGCAUUUUGACAUGGUCACAAAUAUAUCUGAGAAAAUAUUGAGCUUGAUGCUGCCAGAUGUAAGAGUUGUGUGUUCAAAAGAACUCUUGUUAGAGUCCAUGCUAUUCAUCGCUUCGACAUUUCAGUUCUUGCUGUUCAUCUUAGUAUUUCUUUUUUUAUGCAAUAUUGUCUUAGCUGCAUUUUGCGUAUGGUAUAACACGGAUUCUUCAGCGAGAGCUUGAGGUAUACUUUGCAAGGGUAUGAUUUAGGGAUUUAGUGCUCUGUGUUAUUUAGUUCUAUAUUUUCUAAGCAACCAUAUCCUAAGCUUAUGUAUGGUGUCAUUUUUGCUGUUCAACAUAGCUUUCAUUUUGUUAAACACAUCCUCAAUAAAAGCUUGAGGUACUCCUUGAUGAUAUACACGUGUGUUUUAGUUCUAUUUUUUUCUUUGAAAAGUUACUUUAUUAUGUGUUAUGUUUGUUCUAAAAUAAAGUUUUGCUGUGGAACCAAUG